UACGUAGGGUGCAAGCGUUAAUCGGAAUUACUGGGCGUAAAGCGUGCGCAGGCGGCUUUGCAAGACAGAUGUGAAAUCCCCGGGCUUAACCUGGGAACUGCAUUUGUGACUGCAAGGCUAGAGUACGGUAGAGGGGAUGGAAUUCCGCGUGUAGCAGUGAAAUGCGUAGAUAUGCGGAGGAACACCGAUGGCGAAGGCAAUCCCCUGGACCUGUACUGACGCUCAUGCACGAAAGCGUGGGGAGCAAACAGG
rnacentral:rRNA from 1 species